rnacentral:rRNA from 1 species
CCUACGGGCGGCAGCAGUAGGGAAUAUUGCUCAAUGGGGGAAACCCUGAAGCAGCAACGCCGCGUGGAGGAUGAAGGUUUUCGGAUUGUAAACUCCUUUUGUUAGAGAAGAUAAUGACGGUAUCUAACGAAUAAGCACCGGCUAACUCCGUGCCAGCAGCCGCGGUAAUACGGAGGGUGCAAGCGAUACUCGGAAUCACUGGGCGUAAAGAGCGCGUAGGCGGGAUAGCAAGUCAGAUGUGAAAUCCUAUGGCUUAACCAUAGAACUGCAUUUGAAACUGGUAUUCUAGAGUAUGGGAGAGGUAGGUGGAAUUCUUGGUGUAGGGGUAAAAUGCGUAGAGAUCAAGAGGAAUACUCAUGGCGAAGGCGACCUGCUAGAACAUAACUGACGCUGAUGCGCGAAAGCGUGGGGAGCAAACAGGAUUAGAUACCCCUGUAGUC